rnacentral:lncRNA from 1 species
UUUCAGAAGAUCUAUUUAGCUAAGACUCUUGUUGAGAUAUGUAUUUGCAACUCUAACUUGGAACUUCUAAUCUAAAGCAAAUUUUACCCUCUUCACUUUUUUUGAUAGGGUGUGGCAACACGAGAAAUCAAUAGAAAACAGAAUCUUUGAAGUUGACAGCAUCUCUGAUGAAAUCUUCAAGGAAUUUGAUGUGAUUUUUGUUGUAUGCUGGUCCAAAUG